GAUGCAAAUAUUUGAUGCUGUCCUCGAAUAUUUGGAUAAUUCUUUGAAUUUUUCUUGAAAAUUCUCAAAAUGCAGCACUAUAUUUAAUAUUGGCGAUCAGCUUUGCAGUAUAUUUAAACAAUCGUUACCUUCAGACUUAUAUGUAAUGUGAAUAAAGUGAAAUAAGUAAAUAUAAGUGAAAAAAGUGAAUAAAGUGAAAAAGGUAAAAAAAAAAUGAAUAAAGUGAAAUAUGUAAGCAAAGUUAAUAAGUGGAAAAGUGAAUAAAGUGAAGAAAUUGAAAAAAGUUAAGUAAGUGAAUAAAGUGAAUAUAUUGAAAAAAGUAAAUAUAGUGUGAAAAAUGAUAUAAAUGAAUGAGGUGCAAAAUGUGAAUAAAGUGCAAUAAGUAAAAAAAUGUGAAGUACAUAAUAUCAUCAAAAAUAUCGCUAACAAUGCUAUCAAUGAUUGGAAUUUACUCACUGAAAGUAUUUGAAAUAUAAAUAUUUGGAAUAUCGAUAUACCAAAAAGAAUUUUUAAAUACUUCGCACUAAUGUUAACUUCUGCUUAUACUGGCCAAUCUUUAAUAUUCCUGGGCAAUCAGCUAUAUAUAUUGUUGAAAACGUCAAGAAUGCCACACAUUCUAGUAAACUUGCAGACUGAUGCCGAAUAAUGAACUCAGAUGAUAAAGAGGAAAUUGAAAUUAAAUGAAUUAUUAUAGAAAGAAAAUUGUUUUUGAAUUUAAAUGGAUUUGUUUUUUUUUGCCAGUUACUUUCAAAUUUCGUGCUUAUGAUAUGAGUAUGAAGUUUGACCCGAAUAAAUUUUUCCCAAAUGUGUUUUUAUGGCUGUUGUAGUUAAAUUU